GACGAACGCUGGCGGCGUGCUUAACACAUGCAAGUCGAACGGAAAGGCCCUGCUUUUGUGGGGUGCUCGAGUGGCGAACGGGUGAGUAACACGUGAGUAACCUGCCCUUGACUUUGGGAUAACUUCAGGAAACUGGGGCUAAUACCGGAUAGGAGCUCCUGCUGCAUGGUGGGGGUUGGAAAGUUUCGGCGGUUGGGGAUGGACUCGCGGCUUAUCAGCUUGUUGGUGGGGUAGUGGCUUACCAAGGCUUUGACGGGUAGCCGGCCUGGGAGGGUGACCGGCCACAUUAGGACUAAGAUACGGCCCAGACUCCUACGGGAGACAGCAGUGGGGAAUAUUGCACAAUGGGCGGAAGCCUGAUGCAGCAGCGCCGCGUGCGGGAUGACGGCCUUCGGGUUGUAAACCGCUUUCGCCUAUGACGAAGCGUGAGUGACGGUAAUGGGUGAAGAAGCACCGGCUAACUACGUG
rnacentral:rRNA from 1 species